rnacentral:tRNA from 1 species
UAGUGGUUAGUUUAACAAAAACAAAUGAUUUCGACUCAUUAGAUUAUGUUUCAAUACAUAACUACUAA